CGGGGCGCAGCAGUGGGGAAUUUUGCGCAAUGGGGGGAACCUUGACGCAGCGACGCCGCGUGGGUGAUGAAGGCCUUCGGGUUGUAAAGCCCUGUUGGGGGGGAAGAUAAUGACGGUACCCCCUGAGGAAGCCCCGGCUAACUACGUGCCAACAGCCGCGGUAAGACGUAGGGGGCGAGCGUUGUCCGGAAUUACUGGGCGUAAAGGGCGUGUAGGCGGCUUUUCAAGUCGGCUGUGAAAUUCCCCGGCUUAACCGGGGGGGUGCAGUCGAAACUGAUGGGCUUGAGUGCAGGAGAGGGUGGUGGAAUUCCCGGUGUAGCGGUGACAUGCGUAGAUAUCGGGAGGAACACCGGUGGCGAAGGCGACCUCCUGGCCUGUUACUGACGCCGAGGCGCGAAAGCUGGGGGAGCAAACAGGAUUAGAUACCCUGGUAGUCCCAGCUGUAAACUCUGGGUACUAGGUGUGGGGGGCUUUGAUGCCCUCUGUGCCGUAGUUAACGCAUUAAGUACUCCGCCUGGGGAGUACGAUCGCAUGGUUGAAACUCAAAGGAAUUGGCGGGGGAGCACA
rnacentral:rRNA from 1 species